GGAAGUAAAAGUCGUAACAAGGUUUCCGUAGGUGAACCUGCGGAAGGAUCAUUAUGAAUUAAUAAUAUUUGUGAAAUUUCAACAAACAACAUCAAUUUUAUAGUCUAUUAUUUUUAAUUAAAACUUUUAACAAUGGAUCUCUUGGUUCUCGUAUCGAUGAAGAACGCAGCGAAACGCGAUAUUUCUUGUGAAUUGCAGAAGUGAAUCAUCAGUUUUUGAACGCACAUUGCACUUUGGGGUAUCCCCCAAAGUAUACUUGUUUGAGCGUUGUUUCUCUCUUGGAAUUGCUUUGCUCUUCUAAAAUUUCGAAUCAAAUUCGUUUGAAAAACAACACUAUUCAACCUCAGAUCAAGUAGGAUUACCCGCUGAACUUAAGCAUAUCAAUAAGCGGAGGAAAAGAAACCAACAGGGAUUGCCUUAGUAACGGCGAGUGAAGCGGCAAAAGCUCAAAUUUGAAAUCGGCCCCCAGGUCGAGUUGUAAUUUGUAGAUUGUAUCUUGAGAGCGGAUUAAAGUCUGUUGGAACACAGCGCCUUAGAGGGUGACAGCCCCGUAAAAUCUAUUCUCAUUGUAAGAUACUUUCGAAGAGUCGAGUUGUUUGGGAAUGCAGCUCUAAGUGGGAGGUAAAUUCCUUCUAAAGCUAAAUAUUGACGAGAGACCGAUAGCGAACAAGUACUGUGAAGGA
rnacentral:misc_RNA from 1 species